rnacentral:rRNA from 1 species
AGAGUUUGAUCAUGGCUCAGGACGAACGCUGGCGGCGUGCCUAAUACAUGCAAGUAGAACGCUGAAGAGAGGAGCUUGCUCUUCUUGGAUGAGUUGCGAACGGGUGAGUAACGCGUAGGUAACCUGCCUUGUAGCGGGGGAUAACUAUUGGAAACGAUAGCUAAUACCGCAUAACAAUGGAUGACACAUGUCAUUUAUUUGAAAGGGGCAAUUGUUCCACUACAAGAUGGACCUGCGUUGUAUUAGCUAGUAGGUGAGGUAAUGGCUCACCUAGGCGACGAUACAUAGCCGACCUGAGAGGGUGAUCGGCACACUGGGACUGAGACACGGCCCAGACUCCUACGGGAGGCAGCAGUAGGGAAUCUUCGGCAAUGGGGGCAACCCUGACCGAGCAACGCCGCGUGAGUGAAGAAGGUUUUCGGAUCGUAAAGCUCUGUUGUAAGUCAAGAACGGGUGUGAGAGUGGAAAGUUCACACUGUGACGGUAGCUUACCAGAAAGGGACGGCUAACUACGUGCCAGCAGCCGCGGUAAUACGUAGGUCCCGAGCGUUGUCCGGAUUUAUUGGGCGUAAAGCGAGCGCAGGCGGUUUGAUAAGUCUGAAGUUAAAGGCUGUGGCUCAACCAUAGUUCGCUUUGGAAACUGUCAAACUUGAGUGCAGAAGGGGAGAGUGGAAUUCCAUGUGUAGCGGUGAAAUGCGUAGAUAUAUGGAGGAACACCGGUGGCGAAAGCGGCUCUCUGGUCUGUAACUGACGCUGAGGCUCGAAAGCGUGGGGAGCGAACAGGAUUAGAUACCCUGGUAGUCCACGCCGUAAACGAUGAGUGCUAGGUGUUGGAUCCUUUCCGGGAUUCAGUGCCGCAGCUAACGCAUUAAGCACUCCGCCUGGGGAGUACGACCGCAAGGUUGAAACUCAAAGGAAUUGACGGGGGCCCGCACAAGCGGUGGAGCAUGUGGUUUAAUUCGAAGCAACGCGAAGAACCUUACCAGGUCUUGACAUCCCGAUGCUAUUUCUAGAGAUAGAAAGUUACUUCGGUACAUCGGUGACAGGUGGUGCAUGGUUGUCGUCAGCUCGUGUCGUGAGAUGUUGGGUUAAGUCCCGCAACGAGCGCAACCCCUAUUGUUAGUUGCCAUCAUUCAGUUGGGCACUCUAGCGAGACUGCCGGUAAUAAACCGGAGGAAGGUGGGGAUGACGUCAAAUCAUCAUGCCCCUUAUGACCUGGGCUACACACGUGCUACAAUGGUUGGUACAACGAGUUGCGAGUCGGUGACGGCGAGCUAAUCUCUUAAAGCCAAUCUCAGUUCGGAUUGUAGGCUGCAACUCGCCUACAUGAAGUCGGAAUCGCUAGUAAUCGCGGAUCAGCACGCCGCGGUGAAUACGUUCCCGGGCCUUGUACACACCGCCCGUCACACCACGAGAGUUUGUAACACCCGAAGUCGGUGAGGUAACCUUUUGGAGCCAGCCGCCUAAGGUGGGACAGAUGAUUGGGGUGAAGUCGUAACAAGGUA